rnacentral:rRNA from 1 species
GAUGAACGCUGGCGGCGUGCCUAAUACAUGCAAGUCGAGCGAACAGACGAGGAGCUUGCUCCUCUGACGUUAGCGGCGGACGGGUGAGUAACACGUGGAUAACCUACCUAUAAGACUGGGAUAACUUCGGGAAACCGGAGCUAAUACCGGAUAAUAUAUUGAACCGCAUGGUUCAAUAGUGAAAGACGGUUUUGCUGUCACUUAUAGAUGGAUCCGCGCCGCAUUAGCUAGUUGGUAAGGUAACGGCUUACCAAGGCAACGAUGCGUAGCCGACCUGAGAGGGUGAUCGGCCACACUGGAACUGAGACACGGUCCAGACUCCUACGGGAGGCAGCAGUAGGGAAUCUUCCGCAAUGGGCGAAAGCUUGACGGAGCAACGCCGCGUGAGUGAUGAAGGUUUUCGGAUCGUAAAACUCUGUUAUUAGGGAAGAACAAAUGUGUAAGUAACUAUGCACGUCUUGACGGUACCUAAUCAGAAAGCCACGGCUAACUACGUG